rnacentral:rRNA from 1 species
GACUGUACAAAGGUAGCAUAAUCAUUUGUCUUUUAAUUGAAGGCUGGUAUGAAUGGUUGGAUGAAAAAUAUACUUUCUUUAUUUUAAAAAAUUAAUUUGAUUUUUUAGUUAAAAAGCUAAAAUAUUUUUAUAGGACGAGAAGACCCUAUAGAACUUUACUUUUAUAUAAUAUAAUUUUUAUAUUUUUUUAAAGAAUUGUAUUAUUUUAUUAGUUUCAUUGGGGUGAUGGAAAAAAUUAUAUAACUUUUUCUAUUAAUAACAUUUAUUAGUGUUUUUUUGAUCCUUUAUUAUGGAUAAUAAGAUUAAGUUACCUUAGGGAUAACAGCGUUAUUUUUUUGGAGAGUUCAUAUCGAUAAAAAAGUUUGCGACCUCGAUGUUGGAUUAAAAUAAGUUUCAGGGGUAUAAUAUUGAUUACUAGGUCUGUUCGACCUUUAAUUUUUUACA